GGUUAAUGUGUCUGGAUAAAGCCUAUGUGGUAUUAGAUCGAGAUUGACCUUAUUUUAGGAAAAGAAAUACUUAUUAAUACUAAUAUUUAAUCUCCUAUUUAAUUAAUAUUCCAACGAAAUAAACAAAGAUAUGAAUUAAAAUAAAUAAUAAUCAAUAAUCAAACUAAAUAAUAUUUCUACUAUUAUCUAAUCAUAUACAUCUCGAUUUUUUUUAAAGCGUCCAAAGUAAUUCAUAAAAUAUAUUCAGGUUGAGGUGUUUGGGAAACAGCAAAGGGUACAGUCCCAACACUCUUAACUACAAAGCCCAUAUGAGACCCUACCGUGACCAAUAAUCCAAAAUGAAAGAAAUAAAAAAACAAAAUGGGCCGUGAGCCCAGCCCCUUUUAAAGCUCCAUCCGGAAGCAAAGGGGUAGAACAGAAUCUGAAGGGGCAGCUGUACAGCUCCCCUGCACGCGUGGCUUUGUAAGCCCCCAACAUUAUCCACGUAGCCGCUGGUUUUUAAGAAGACGUGUGGCUUUUUGAAUACUCAACAGCCACUUGUCGCAUUAAUUAACACACUAAAUUGGAAUUAAAUCCUGUUUAAAAUAUUCAUUGUAUCUUAAAAUCUAUUAACUCCUCUACUCUAUGUUUUUUCAUUUUCUCCUCUUCUGUUAUAACCUUACCCAUUAAAAACCAAAUCUUAGCCGUGUAGUUUCCAAAUCAAAAACAAAGGUCCAAAGAAAUCGAAACAAAAACGAAUCAACAAGACAACAGAAAUCUCAUGUAAUAAUCAUGGGGGUUAUGGCAUUUGAGGCGAUGUGAACAAGAUGGCAAUAUCAAAUCAUGCAAAGGAGAAAUGUUAAAUACCAAAUCGGAGCUAGUCCGACGUUUCAACUCCGGCAAGGUGAGGGGGCUUAGCUCGAGCUUGUUGAGCUUCGGUGUGAAAAUCUCAACAAGUUCAAAACAGAGCUUUUUUAACUAGGGUUUUGGAAUGAUUUCUCCAGAGUAACGGCGCAGAAAUUCGGAUCCCUACUUCAUCCCUGGAGGUCCUUAUUUAUAGCAUUUUUGAUGUACGAGGUUUUGAAUUCCUCUCUCAUGAGCUUGGCAAAUUAGUGGGAGAAUCAUUCCGUUAGGUAGCAGAAUUUCUCAGAGUUAGUGGUGCUUCAAAUCGGUGUGGUCCUUCAAAUGCUUUACUCUUCUCAAUCUCCCACCAACGGUUCAUGAUGACUUGUGCAUCACACUUCUGAAAUGGUUAUCAAGGUUGGAACAUCGCAUCGGUUUCAUUCACUGCAGUUAGCUUAAUUAAUCCAUAGAGUGGAGGUUUACAAUAUUCACGUAUCGAUGCGGUUUUGGCCAAUGGUUGUAGGCUUGUGCUCCGUGAUUCUAUUACCAUGAGGUUGGUGCUUUUGUAAGGAUGCAUUUGUGAUAUGCAGGUUUGGAUAUUGAUUCCCAUAUCCUUGCUUGGAAAUCUAAUUUGACAGUCUUAUUAGCCUCAAAAACUGUUUCCAAUGAAUUUCCCUGGAAAGCAACCAAUCAACAGAGCAACACAGAAGCGCUUCAGCACUCCCAAUAUCAACCUUCUCAGAGUGUUUGCCCGACAAUACUUCGGGGCAACCUAUGCAGGGCUUUCAGCCAAUCCAGUCAAGUUUUGACCUUCCCAAAUUCUCAUAUUGAGUUCAAAAUCUGUAGGCUUUAACUUUCUUGAUUUUUCAGGUUUGAUAUCUCUGUGCACGACUCUUGCGAGUCUUUGUUGCUGCUGAUGCAUUGCUGGAUGUUUGUUAUGAUGUAUUUCGGCUAGUGGUUGUGGUAUGCAGGUUUUUCCAUGUGCGAUUCUGAUGAAAACCAGGUGGUUCUGCAUCAAAUUCUUCCUGCAUUGCUUGCCGGUUAUGCGCGACUAAGGACUUGUUGGCGAGGUUGCAGACCUUCACUUUUGAUGUCCAUUCGCCAUGUUCAGAACAAUUCUCACCCUAUCACAUUUGCUUGUAAUACAUAGUGCCUUAGGGUAGGUCAUUCAUCUGUGCUCAACCGUGUAUGUACUUCAUAAUUCGAGGCAUAUACGGACUGCCCAUAAUUGGAAUAACUGUAUGCCAUACUUGUUGAUUUGUGAAUGUAAUCGUAAUUUUAG